rnacentral:rRNA from 1 species
UACGGAGGGUGCAAGCGUUAUCCGGAUUCACUGGGUUUAAAGGGUGCGUAGGAGGACAGGUAAGUCAGUGGUGAAAUCUCCGAGCUUAACUUGGAACUGCCGUUGAUACUAUCUGCCUUGAAUAUCGUGGAGGUGAGCGGAAUAUGUCAUGUAGCGGUGAAAUGCUUAGAUAUGACAUAGAACACCAAUUGCGAAGGCAGCUCGCUACACAUAUAUUGACUCUGAGGCACGAAAGCGUGGGGAUCAAACAGG